AACGAACGCUGGCGGCAUGCCUAACACAUGCAAGUCGAACGAGAUCCUUCGGGGUCUAGUGGCGCACGGGUGCGUAACGCGUGGGAAUCUGCCCUUAGGUUCGGAAUAACAGUUAGAAAUGACUGCUAAUACCGGAUGAUGACGUUAAGUCCAAAGAUUUAUCGCCUGAGGAUGAGCCCGCGUAGGAUUAGCUAGUUGGUGUGGUAAAGGCGCACCAAGGCGACGAUCCUUAGCUGGUCUGAGAGGAUGAUCAGCCACACUGGGACUGAGACACGGCCCAGACUCCUACGGGAGGAAGCAGUGGGGAAUAUUGGACAAUGGGCGCAAGCCUGAUCCAGCAAUGCCGCGUGAGUGAUGAAGGCCUUAGGGUUGUAAAGCUCUUUUACCCGGGAUGAUAAUGACAGUACCGGGAGAAUAAGCCCCGGCUAACUCCGUG
rnacentral:rRNA from 1 species